AUGCAGUUGCCGGGGAAACCGUUUUCACCUCUGUGCAGGGGCAGCACCAAGAGGAAGAGCCUGGGGUGUGGAAGGGGGGGCAGGGAGCCCUUAGGGGAGCUGGGGGAGCUGAGGCAACCAGCGAAGAAGGGGACCGACCGGGUCAUGAGCCCGAACGCCCGGGAAGGUGGCGGCCCAGGAGCCAAGCGCGGGCCCGGAACGCAGAUUCCCAGGCCCUGCUCUGGGGCCAAGGAAGGUGUGAGGAGAAACCCGCGAUGUGCUGAACACGGAACCAAGGGUCUCUCACAUGUCAGGGAAGAGCUCCAGCUGGCACUACACUCACAGACCUUCGUAGUAAAACUUGACAACGACCACAGAUUGCAUUACAGUGAGAAAAUACUUUCAAAAUUAUAAACUUAGCAGAAAGCACGCUUUGAGAAGAAGCAAGAUAUAUAAUGUACAGGAGC
rnacentral:lncRNA from 1 species